AAGAGAAGAAUAUCGGUCAGCUCCCUGCAGAAGUUAAAUGUGAAAAGAGCUAAAGAGGCGUGACUGGCAAGUUACAAGCAGGAGAGGACAGACGCAGAGACUGCCAGCAAAAAUCGUCUUUCUUGAGCUUCCUGGGAUCAUUGCCUCACUCAGAUGGCUCAGAGGCUACGAAAAUCUCAAAGGACCAGCUGGACCCUCACAAGCUCAAUGUGCUCAUAGAUGCUGUGUGAUAAAGCAAUUUCGAAAUCCCAUAGUGAAAAUGCAACGAAUCCUAAUCAAAGAUACCCAUCCUCCGCUCCAAGGAUAAGGAUUGUGACAUUUUUGGCUCCACCAUUUGUACUGUGUGCUUGUGACGGAGUACCUUCACUACAGUUGAGUAAGCGCUUGGACUGCCAUACCAGCGAGCCUGGCUUUUUGGCAUUGCUGUCGAAGUUGCAUGUUUGGAACUCUGUAGAUCUGUGUUUGAAUCUGGGUAGGAUGACUGCUCUCACAUUUGGCCGCAUAUGGUGUCAGAAGUGGGAUGGCUUGCCGUGAGGUCAUCUGAGCCGUGCCCAGAGUCCGAACCGUAUGAAGGGCCCUGGGUAACAUUAAUGAUGAGAUGUGUAUAGUGUACUUUUCAGUAAUACUGA